AUCCUUUCGGGUAUGUGUGUGUUGGAUCUUGAAUGCAUAAAGUGGAUUCGAUCCACCAUAACCAAAUUUAAAUUAACACUACAACUGAACUUUUCCCACGGAGGAACAAUAGUUUUUCUCUGACAGUAGUUUUACAUUUUCCAGAUGCCUUUAGCCAGGCCGAAAUAAUGUCUUCACCAAUUGACCCUUUCUAACCUCUUCUACUUCAACAAAAGCUAGAAUAGAGAUAACAAG